rnacentral:rRNA from 1 species
UACGAAGGGGGCUAGCGUUGCUCGGAAUCACUGGGCGUAAAGCGCACGUAGGCGGAUCUUUAAGUCAGGGGUGAAAUCCUGGAGCUCAACUCCAGAACUGCCUUUGAUACUGGGGAUCUCGAGUCCGGAAGAGGUGAGUGGAACUCCGAGUGUAGAGGUGAAAUUCGUAGAGAUGUGGAGGAACACCAGUGGCGAAGGCGACUCUUUGGCCUGUAACUGACGCUGAGGCGCGAAAGCGUGGGGAGCAAACAGG